AACGAACGCUGGCGGCAGGCCUAACACAUGCAAGUCGAGCGGACCCUCCGGGUUUGCGGCCGGCGGGUUGGUUACGCCUUGGAAUUUUCCCCUUUUUACGGAAUUGGUCUUGGAAACUUGGGGUUAUUCCCGUUUCGGCCCUUUGGGGAAAGAUUUAUCGGGGAAGGAUUUGCCCGCGUUGGAUUAGGUAGUUGGUGGGGUAAUGGCCUACCAAGCCGACGAUCCAUAGCUGGUUUGAGAGGAUGAUCAGCCACACUGGGACUGAGACACGGCCCAGACUCCUACGGGAGGCAGCAGUGGGGAAUCUUAGACAAUGGGGGCAACCCUGAUCUAGCCAUGCCGCGUGAGUGAUGAAGGCCUUAGGGUUGUAAAGCUCUUUCAGCUGGGAAGAUAAUGACGGUACCAGCAGAAGAAGCCCCGGCUAACUCCGUG
rnacentral:rRNA from 1 species